CUCUUCUAGUAGAACCCUUGGAAGGAUAAAACUUGGCAGGAGCAGUACAGCACGUUGCAUUUUGAUAUCUCACCUUCUUCUUUCUCAUCUAACACACCAACUGUUUCCGUACACUCACUCGACAAAUCGCUAGCCAUUCUUGAACUUACCCUCGAACCAUGAACAAUUAAUCGCGUCCAUUCGUAAUAAUAUAAAACUGUUUCAUGAAAAUUAGGGUUAAUUACGUAUUAACAAUAAUUGUGAUUUUUUUACCGAUCUAAAUCUAACACUCGCACUACACUUUAUUAUAAAUAAUCUCGCAAUUAAAAUCCUUUAAUAUAACGAAUAAAAAAUUUAAAUAAGCCCGAAUACCGUAUUUAGUUUAGACAAAGAGAAAUUACUUAGUCACUAAAACGUCCGUUUUUAUUGUAACUUUAUCUUCACAACUAAAUGCAUGUAAUAGUUCUGCCAUGCUAAGUCGUUUUCAACGCAUGAUA
rnacentral:misc_RNA from 1 species